rnacentral:rRNA from 1 species
ACAAGCAGUGGAACAUGUGGUUCAAUUCGACGCUACGCGAAGAACCUCGCCAGGGUUUGACAUAUAGGUAGUAGGAACCUGAAAGGGAGACGACUCGUUAAGCCGAGUGCCUAUACAGGUGUUGCAUGGCUGUCGUCAGCUCGUGCCGUGAGGUGUUGGGUUAAGUCCCGCAACGAGCGCAACCAUCAUCCUUAGUUGCUACCGAGGGAUCCGAAAGGGUCCUGGCGAGCACUCUAAGGAGACUGCCCGUGAUAAACGGGAGGAAGGUGGAGAUGACGUCAAGUCCGUAUGGCCCUUAUACCCUGGGCUACACACGUGUUACAAUGGGAUGUACAGAGCGUUGCCAAACCGCGAGGUGGAGCUAAUCGCAAAAAGCAUCCCCCAGUUCAGAUUGGAGUCUGCAACCCGACUCCAUGAAGUUGGAAUUGCUAGUAACGGCGGAUCAGCUACGCCGCCGUGAAUACGUUCCCGGGCCUU